CCUACGGGUGGCUGCAGUGGGGAAUAUUGCACAAUGGGCGCAAGCCUGAUGCAGCCAUGCCGCGUGUGUGAAGAAGGCCUUCGGGUUGUAAAGCACUUUCAGCGGGGAGGAAGGCGGUGAGGUUAAUAACCUCAUCGAUUGACGUUACCCGCAGAAGAAGCACCGGCUAACUCCGUGCCAGCAGCCGCGGUAAUACGGAGGGUGCAAGCGUUAAUCGGAAUUACUGGGCGUAAAGCGCACGCAGGCGGUCUGUCAAGUCGGAUGUGAAAUCCCCGGGCUCAACCUGGGAACUGCAUUCGAAACUGGCAGGCUAGAGUCUUGUAGAGGGGGGUAGAAUCCCAGGUGUAGCGGUGAAAUGCGUAGGGAUCUGGAGGAAUACCGGUGGCGAAGGCGGCCCCCUGGACAAAGACUGACGCUCAGGUGCGAAAGCGUGGGGAGCAAACAGGAUUAGAUACCCUAGUAGUC
rnacentral:rRNA from 1 species